AGAACGAACGCUGGCGGCAUGCCUAAUACAUGCAAGUCGAACGAACUCUUCGGAGUUAGUGGCGCACGGGUGCGUAACGCGUGGGAAUCUGCCCCUUGGUUCGGAAUAACAGUUGGAAACGACUGCUAAUACCGGAUGAUGACGAAAGUCCAAAGAUUUAUCGCCAAGGGAUGAGCCCGCGUAGGAUUAGCUAGUUGGUGAGGUAAAGCUCACCAAGGCAACGAUCCUUAGCUGGUCUGAGAGGAUCGAUCAGCCACACUGGGACUGAGACACGGCCCAGACUCGUACGGAGCAGCAGUAGGGAAUAUGACAAGUGGCGAAAGCUGAUCAGCAAUGACCGCGUGAGUGAUGAAGCCUUAGGGUUGUAAAGCUCUUUUACCGAGAUAGAUAAUGAACG
rnacentral:rRNA from 1 species